GUGGGGAAUUUUGGACAAUGGGGGAAACCCUGAUCCAGCAAUGCCGCGUGUGUGAAGAAGGCCUUCGGGUUGUAAAGCACUUUUGUCCGGAAAGAAAACCUUCGAGCUAAUACCUUGAGGGGAUGACGGUACCGGAAGAAUAAGCACCGGCUAACUACGUGCCAGCAGCCGCGGUAAUACGUAGGGUGCGAGCGUUAAUCGGAAUUACUGGGCGUAAAGCGUGCGCAGGCGGUUUGUUAAGACAGAUGUGAAAUCCCCGGGCUUAACCUGGGAACUGCAUUUGUGACUGGCAAGCUAGAGUAUGGCAGAGGGGGGUAGAAUUCCACGUGUAGCAGUGAAAUGCGUAGAGAUGUGGAGGAAUACCGAUGGCGAAGGCAGCCCCCUGGGCCAAUACUGACGCUCAUGCACGAAAGCGUGGGGAGCAAACAGGAUUAGAAACCCCAGUAGUCC
rnacentral:rRNA from 1 species